rnacentral:rRNA from 1 species
GGACUACCAGGGUAUCUAAUCCUGUUUGCUCCCCACGCUUUCGCGUCUCAGCGUCAGGAACGGCCCAGAAGGCCGCCUUCGCCACCGGUAUUCCUCCUAAUAUCUACGAAUUUCACCUCUACACUAGGAAUUCCACCUUCCUCUACCGUCCUCUAGCCAAGCAGUUUCGACUGCACUUCCUCGGUUGAGCCCAGGGAUUUCACAAUCGACUUACCUGACCGCCUACACGCGCUUUACGCCCAAUGAUUCCGAACAACGCUAGCACCCUACGUAUUACCGCGGCUGCUGGCAC